rnacentral:tRNA from 1 species
UGCUGAAUGGCAAGUGCUUGGCGCGGAUUGCAAAUCCGUUUACAGCGGUUCGAUUCCGCUUGAGGCCUCCA